GUAGUCCUAGCCGUAAACGGUGAGCACUAGGUGUAGGAGGCAUCGACCCCUCCUGUGCCGCAGCUAACGCAUUAAGUGCUCCGCCUGGGGAGUACGACCGCAAGGUUGAAACUCAAAGGAAUUGACGGGGGCCCGCACAAGCGGUGGAGCAUGUGGUUUAAUUCGAUGCAACGCGAAGAACCUUACCCAGAUUUGACAUGCACUGGACCGGUGUGGAAACACACCUUCCCUUCGGGGCUGGUGCACAGGUGCUGCAUGGCUGUCGUCAGCUCGUGUCGUGAGAUGUUGGGUUAAGUCCCGCAACGAGCGCAACCCUUGUCCUUAGUUGCCAGCAGGUAAAGCUGGGCACUCUAGGGAGACUGCCGUCGAUAAGGCGGA
rnacentral:rRNA from 1 species